CCGAAGUGGUGGCGUUAGCGGGAGCGAGACUUUUUUCUGUGCCACAUUCAUCAUACCGUUGCCAGUUGCCCUCCUUCUCCAAAAUGGCUGCUCCGUCAGCAUUUUCCCGCCUAAAUAUGCUCCCAAAACCUUCCAUUUUCAGAGCAGUCAACAAUUUUCAAAGAACCCGACUUCCACCCAAAUGGUCAUUUCCCAAUUCUUCACUCCAUAAAUCCUCUUCCAUGAUAGCCUGCCUUUCCUCCUCAUCACGUUCUAUUCUGACCUCCCUUGACGUUUCAAAGCACGACGGCGAUUUGGUCGUUCUGGGAAUUGAAACAAGCUGCGACGACACUGCUUCCGCCGUUGUGAGAAGCAAUGGUGAAAUCCUGAGCCAAGUAAUAUCUUCUCAGGCUGACUUGCUUGUGAAAUAUGGAGGUGUUGCUCCAAAAAUGGCAGAAGAAGCUCACUCACAAGUGAUUGAUUGGGUUGUGCAAGAAACCCUUGAUAAAGCUCAUUUGACUGAAAAGGAUCUCUCUGCUGUUGCUGUUACUAUUGGUCCUGGUUUAAGUCUCUGCCUUCGUGUGGGUGUGCAAAAAGCAAGGAGAGUUGCUGGAACCUUUAAUUUGCCAAUUAUUGGCGUACAUCACAUGGAAGCUCAUGCUCUAGUGGCCAGGUUAAUUGAGCGAGAUUUGCAGUUUCCAUUCAUGGCACUGCUUAUUUCUGGAGGUCACAAUCUACUCAUACUUGCUCGUGAUCUUGGGCAAUACAUACAACUUGGUACUACAAUAGAUGAUGCGAUUGGAGAGGCAUAUGACAAAAUAGCUAAAUGGCUUGGUCUUGAUAUGAGGAGGAGUGGUGGUCCUGCUAUAGAGGAACUUGCUCGGGAGGGUAAUGCAGAAUCAGUCAGUUUUUCAGUUCCAAUGAAGCAUCACAAAGAUUGUAACUUCUCAUAUGCUGGUCUGAAAACCCAAGUGAGGCUAGCAAUUGAAUCUAAAAAGAUUGAUGCGAAAAUUCCCAUUUCUUCUGCAAGUAGUGAGGACCGAGUUUCUAGAGCUGAUAUUGCUGCUUCCUUUCAGCGGGUUGCAGUAUUACAUCUUGAGGAAAGAUGUGAACGAGCAAUACAAUGGGCGUUGAAGAUGGAGCCUUCUAUAAAAUACUUGGUAGUUUCUGGAGGUGUUGCAUCAAAUCAAUAUGUUAGGUCUCGGCUAGAUAUGGUUGUAAAGAAGAAUGGCCUACAACUAGUAUGCCCUCCUCCUAGCCUUUGUACUGACAAUGGGGUGAUGGUUGCUUGGACUGGCAUUGAGCACUUUCGCAUGGGAAGAUAUGACCCUCCUCCUCCUCCACAAGAACCUGAAGACUUUGUGUAUGAUGUACGCCCACGGUGGCCAUUAGGAGAAGAGUAUGCCGAAGGAAGAAGUGAAGCUCCCUCUGUAAAGAGGGCCCGUGUUCAUCCAUCUCUGACAUCUCUGAUACAAGCAGCAUCACAAUAAUGACUCCUUCCGUUGGCUUCUUCAUCAAUCUCUGAAUCUCAAGAAAACAAAACAGUUGCAUGAAGUAACAUGGUUGAGCAGCAUGUCAACAAUUUCUGCAGAAACCUUUGAAGCCGAUGCUCGUAGAUCAUUGAUCUUAGCUUCUGUUUCUUCUUCAAGCCUUUUCACAGUAGAUCCAGCGUUCCCACUAGUCUAUAAACACAUAAGCAAGUAGGGAAAAAAGAAACAGAAAAAUAAUGAUUCAGGUACUGAAUUCUUAACCUUACGUGAUAUUACAACAACAACAACAAGCCUUUAUCCCACUAGGUGGGGUCGGUUACAUGGAUUGCAAGACGUCAUUGUGCUCUAUCAUUUAUCAAGCUUUUAGGAAUAUUAUUAAUUAAGAGAUCGCGUUCAAUAACUUCUAAGAGUGUUCUCUUAAACCUUCCUCUACCUCUCUUAAUCGGGCUCAAAGUUCUCAAGUAAGAAGCUUAUCAUACAUUUUCUUUAAUCAUUCACUUGACAGAAUACUAAUGUACAAUAUGUUACUUUUAAAGAUCAACCUGUGAAUUCUUUAAUCUUUAGGGUUU